ACUUCCUACAAUGCGCACAUACUUAAUGAUUGGUAAUUCCUUACUAGUUAAUGAGUUUCGGACUUAAGUAUGAUGUUGUGUUUGCAUAGAGUUCGGGAAACCGAACUUGAGUAACGAAAUAAGUUACUCCUUUACUUCCUGUAUUAUUUAAACCUUUUGGUUAGACGCUGCUCAUUAGGGGUGGCGUUUUUUU
rnacentral:other from 1 species